GGAGUAGUAGUAUAAUAAGUAUUUUUUCCUUCCAAGAAAAAGGUCUGAAUUAAAUACAGUUACUUCA